rnacentral:rRNA from 1 species
UACGUAGGGCGCGAGCGUUGUCCGGAUUUAUUGGGCGUAAAGAGCUCGUAGGCGGUCUGUUACGUCUGCUGUGAAAACCCGGGGCUUAACCCUGGGCUUGCAGUGGAUACGGGGCAGACUAGAGGCAGGUAGGGGAGAAUGGAAUUCCCGGUGUAGCGGUGAAAUGCGCAGAUAUCAGGAGGAACACCGAUGGCGAAGGCAGGUCUCUGGGCAUUAACUGACGCUGAGGAGCGAAAGCAUGGGGAGCGAACAGG